CUACGGGGUGCUGCAGUCGAGAAUCUUUGGCAAUGGACGAAAGUCUGACCAAGCGACGCCGCGUGCGGGAUGAAGGCCUUCGGGUUGUAAACCGCUGUCAGUUGGGAGGAAAUCACAUGGGGUCCUCUCCAUGUGUUGACCUAUCUUCAGAGGAAGGACGGGCUAAGUUCGUGCCAGCAGCCGCGGUAAGACGAACCGUCCAAACGUUAUUCGGAAUCACUGGGCUUAAAGGGUGCGUAGGCGGCCCUGUAAGUUGGGUGUGAAAUCCCUCGGCUCAACCGAGGAAUUGCGCCCAAUACUGCAGGGCUCGAGGGAGACAGAGGUGAGCGGAACUUGUGGUGGAGCGGUGAAAUGCGUUGAUAUCACAAGGAACACCUGUGGCGAAAGCGGCUCACUGGGUCUCUUCUGACGCUGAGGCACGAAAGCUGGGGGAGCGAACGGGAUUAGAUACCCUUGUAGUC
rnacentral:rRNA from 1 species